UGCCAGCCGCCGCGGUAAUACAGAGGGUGCGAGCGUUAGCCGGAAUUACUGGGCGUAAAGAGCACGUAGGUGGAUAGGUAAGUUGGAUGUGAAAUCCCCGGGCUUAACCUGGGACGGUCAUUCAAAACUGCCUGUCUAGAGUACAGUAGAGGAAAGUGGAAUUUCCGGUGUAGCGGUGAAAUGCGUAGAUAUCGGAAGGAACACCAGUGGCGAAGGCGGCUUUCUGGACUGAUACUGACACUGAGGUGCGAAAGCGUGGGGAGCAAACAGGAUUAGAUA
rnacentral:rRNA from 1 species